rnacentral:rRNA from 1 species
CCUACGGGAGACAGCAGUGAGGAAUAUUGGUCAAUGGGCGCGAGCCUGAACCAGCCAAGUCGCGUGAGGGAAGACGGUCCUAUGGAUUGUAAACCUCUUUUGUCGGGGAGCAAAAGACGCCACGCGUGGCGUUCCGAGAGUACCCGAAGAAAAAGCAUCGGCCAACUCCGUGCCCGCAGCCGCGGUAAUACGGAGGAUGCGAGAGUUAUCCGGAUGUAUUGGGUUUAAAGGGUGCGCAGGCGGAAGAUCAAGUCAGCGGUAAAAUUGAGAGGCUCAACCUCUUCGAGCCGUUGAAACUGGUUUUCUUGAGUGAGUGAGAAGUAUGCGGAAUGCGUGGUGUAGCGGUGAAAUGCAUAGAUAUCACGCAGAACUCCGAUUGCGAAGGCAGCAUACCGGCGCUCAACUGACGCUCAUGCACGAAAGUGUGGGUAUCGAACAGGAUUAGAUACCCUUGUAGUC